ACUUUCAGCAACGGAUCUCUUGGUUCUGGCAUCGAUGAAGAACGCAGCGAAAUGCGAUAAGUAAUGUGAAUUGCAGAAUUCAGUGAACCAUCGAAUCUUUGAACGCACAUUGCGCCCGCCAGCACUCUGGCGGGCAUGCCUGUCCGAGCGUCAUCUC
rnacentral:rRNA from 1 species